CAGUGGUGAACCUGGAGCAACGAGAGGUCAGAGGUCACAGUCUGCAGGGUCCAGCUGUCCGUCUGUGAGGAGUGACUGGUCCAAACCUCUAAAUCCUCCAUUCUUCAGUGGUGAACCUGGAGCAACGAGAGUGGAGCAGCAGAGCUCAGAGGUUCCCAGUGGUCAGUC